UGCAAAAGAAUUAAUAAUUUUUUCCCUAAAUUGUUUUCUUUUCAGUUCUUGCAUCUGCCAUAUUGUGAUUUUAGAAUCUAGUUCAGAAGUGACCAGUGUGAAGGUGUGAUUUAUCAAAUUAUUUUUUCAGGCAGUUGGAAUUUGCAGAAAUUCCUUGAGUCUGUAUAACAGUAGUGCAAUAAAAGUGGCUUUAACUACCUAUUUUUGUGUUUAGUUUUAGAAAACCUCUCCCCAGAGAUUCAGCUUGUCUAUAAAUUCAGUGAUAAUCUAAAAAAUAUGAAGCAAAAGAACGAGAUAAAUCCGCUGGCUCAUAAGAUGAGUGAAACUGAACAAUCUCAGUCUCUGCUCCGGUUUAGAUACUGACAUGUCUGGAUUUCUGAAAACAGAGAGAAAGAUUUCACAUCGAUUAAAUGAUGAAGAUGACUCUCCAGAAAGAAGCCUACUGUCAAGUGCAGUUGUAAAAGAGACAUUAAUGGCUCCAAAGGAAUGGACACCACGGAAUGUAUUUCCAGGGGUUUUAAAAGAUUGUCAGAGUGCCACUAUGACCAUUACUGAGAUAGAUAUUACGGUAAAAGAUAAUUCUCUUGAGAAGUCUAUACCUGACUUUAUUUUAUCAUCAACAUCAGAGAAGAUUUCCAGGGAAACAUUAACUGUACAAAGUAUAAUGGGUGAUGAAUUUGAAAUUAGAGAUUUGCUGAAACCAUUCAGUGAUUCAGAGAGUCCAGAAAUGAUAAACCCCUUGCAUGACACGUUACAGUGUCAAGGUGAUGCUCUAUCUGUAGAUAUAUCAGUAGAUGAGAACAGCAAUGUCCUGCCAAUAGAGCUUCUGACAGCACUGAACUCCUUUUCAGAAUUUGUAGUACAGCCUGUCCGUCAAUUAGUAGGGAAGGAAAGAGAGCUUAAUGCUGAAGAAGAACAUGUGAGAUCAGAAUCCAGUAUUUUCCAGAUAGAUGACUGCACUCAAAUAACAGAUAACAGUUUUGAACCUCAAUUUUCUGUGAAGCAAUUGGAAGAAAUAAAAGCAUUAACAGAGGCUCCAUUUCAGUGUACUUUAGAUGAACAACUUGUAGGUAACCAGAAGAACCAGGAUUUGAUAAUUUCUGAUUAUUGCAAUGUCGCCUCUUAUGACAAACAAGCUGGUGAAGGAAAUUCCGGUUCAAUAGAGAAUACCUCGGGUAUAGAAACUACCAAAGCAACUUCUUGUAUAUUAAGGAGGUCAACUCGAUUAAGAGAAAACUGCACUAGAAAGCACAUAGAUGAAGCUUCCAGUUGUUAUAAAAUGCUAGAAGAAACUCACCAAAGAAUAUAUAGUAAUGACGAAGAAACAGGAAAUAAACUUUCAUCUAAAGAUUUUGGUAGAACACAAGAUUCUGCUUGUAAGAACAGCAAAGAACAGCAAUCAGAGCUGGAAGCCAGUACAUACCAAGGAUCAACUAUGGAUGUAAACAGCGAGGUUGAGCAGAUGAGGAAAAGCCAAAGGCUUGAAAAGAAAAUUAGUAAGAGAUGCUUCUGACAUUUAUUUGCCAGAUAAGUUACUCUUCUGUUGAACUGAUUCAAACAAAUGUACUGAACCAGAAAAGUAUAAAUUUGUUGGAUGGUAUUUUCAAAGCCACUGAAAUGUGCAUUUAUGAGCUACCUUUUUUAAAAACUUUAUAUACAUUAGUUUUAAUAAUAAUCCAUGAUACUUUGUACCAGUUUUUAUUUCACUACUUACAGUACAGACUCUAAUAAUUGACUUGCUUACACACAUCCUUCAUAAAAUUUAAGAAAAACAUUCAGGGGUGGAAAUCUAAUUUAGUAACAUUAUAAUUGAAAUGACUGAAUAUUCUGAAACAUCAAAACAAAACAAAAAAUAGAUCCAGAGUACAAAUGUAAGUCCUACAGUCUGAUUUGC
ensembl:lncRNA